rnacentral:rRNA from 1 species
AGCGGCGGAUGGGUGAGUAACACGUGGGGAACCUGCCCCUAAGUCUGGGAUACCAUUUGGAAACAGGUGCUAAUACCGGAUAAUAAAGCAGAUCGCAUGAUCAGCUUUUGAAAGGCGGCGUAAGCUGUCGCUAAGGGAUGGCCCCGCGGUGCAUUAGCUAGUUGGUAAGGUAACGGCUUACCAAGGCGACGAUGCAUAGCCGAGUUGAGAGACUGAUCGGCCACAUUGGGACUGAGACACGGCCCAAACUCCUACGGGAGGCAGCAGUAGGGAAUCUUCCACAAUGGACGCAAGUCUGAUGGAGCAACGCCGCGUGAGUGAAGAAGGUUUUCGGAUCGUAAAGCUCUGUUGUUGGUGAAAAAGGAUAGAGGUAGUAACUGGCCUUUAUUUGACGGUAAUCAACCAGAAAGUCACGGCUAACUACGCGCCAGCAGCCGCGGUAAUACGUAGGUGGCAAGCGUUGUCCGGAUUUAUUGGGCGUAAAGCGAGCGCAGGCGGAAAAAUAAGUCUAAUGUGAAAGCCCUCGGCUUAACCGAGGAACUGCAUCGGAAACUGUUUUUCUUGAGUGCAGAAGAGGAGAGUGGAACUCCAUGUGUAGCGGUGGAAUGCGUAGAUAUAUGGAAGAACACCAGUGGCGAAGGCGGCUCUCUGGUCUGCAACUGACGCUGAGGCUCGAAAGCAUGGGUAGCGAACAGGAUUAGAUACUCUGGUAGUCCAUGCCGUAAACGAUGAGUGCUAAGUGU